rnacentral:rRNA from 1 species
AAAUCAGUUAUCGUUUAUUUGAUAGUACCUUACUACUUGGAUAACCGUGGUAAUUCUAGAGCUAAUACAUGCUAAAAACCCUGACUUCGGAAAGGGUGUAUUUAUUAGAUAAAAAACCAAUGCCCUCCGGGGCUCUUUGGUGAUUCAUGAUAACUUAACGGAUCGCAUGGCCUUGCGCCGGCGACGGUUCAUUCAAAUUUCUGCCCUAUCAACUUUCGAUGGUAAGGUAUUGGCUUACCAUGGUUUCAACGGGUAACGGGGAAUUAGGGUUCGAUUCCGGAGAGGGAGCCUGAGAAACGGCUACCACAUCCAAGGAAGGCAGCAGGCGCGCAAAUUACCCAAUCCCGACACGGGGAGGUAGUGACAAUAAAUACUGAUACAGGGCUCUUUUGGGUCUUGUAAUCGGAAUGAGUACAAUUUAAACCUCUUAACGAGGAACAAUUGGAGGGCAAGUCUGGUGCCAGCAGCCGCGGUAAUUCCAGCUCCAAUAGCGUAUAUUAAAGUUGUUGCAGUUAAAAAGCUCGUAGUUGAAUCUUGGGCCUGGCUGGCCGGUCCGCCUCACCGCGUGUACUGGUCUGGCCGGGCCUUUCCUUCUGGAGAACCUCAUGCCCUUCAUUGGGUGUGUUGGGGAACCAGGACUUUUACUUUGAAAAAAUUAGAGUGUUCAAAGCAGGCCUUUGCUCGAAUACGUUAGCAUGGAAUAAUAGAAUAGGACGUGCGGUCCUAUUUUGUUGGUUUCUAGGACCGCCGUAAUGAUUAAUAGGGAUAGUCGGGGGCAUCAGUAUUCAAUUGUCAGAGGUGAAAUUCUUGGAUUUAUUGAAGACUAACUACUGCGAAAGCAUUUGCCAAGGAUGUUUUCAUUAAUCAGUGAACGAAAGUUAGGGGAUCGAAGACGAUCAGAUACCGUCGUAGUCUUAACCGUAAACUAUGCCGACUAGGGAUCGGGCGAUGUUUCAAU